CGAUCAAUUUAAUUUUUUUAAUAAAUAUUUUACGUGAUAAUUUUUACAAAAUGAACAACUCGAAUCAUGUCAAUAAGCAGCACCGUGUUGUUCCCAUGUAGACCCCAUACCCAGAAAAAUGAAAGGAAAAUUUAAGUCAUCCAUGUUCGUGGGCAUUAGCCCACUAUGCUAGGAGCAGUCUAAAGACGAUAAGUCUCUCUCUCUCUCUCACCAGUUCCAAUUCAUACGUUAUGAAUGAACCUACCAAUACGCCUUUGAAUUAUUCAUUACUUUGUUAGUGGGAAUUGACCAGUGUUUUUUCCACAUCGAAGGCCUCCACCUAGAGAAAUAGCUUAUUUCUUGAGGUAGUUUUCAAAAUGGAUGGCCAAAGGAGUCACCAUUUUUCAAGCUUUCUAUUCAUUUUAGAUAUCUAUUGUC
rnacentral:lncRNA from 1 species